GUCUGCCUGAUGCAAAUCAAACAAGGACUACAAGAACUACAGUGGACGUGUGGGUGCAAUCAUCUUUUUCUGGCCGUUCCUGGCGCAUUGUUGAAUUAGUCAUCUUGCCUCUCUUGCACUUAACAUUGUCUAAUUAGACUUUUCAAAAUGAUUAUCCAGGACUGCUUGGCCUCUCGUUUCGAUUAGCCUAUCAUUAAAGUUGGAAACACCAGAAUUGACGCUUGCGUAUGAGUGUGUACAGGUUGUCCGUAGGAUUUUCUUUGUAGCAAACUCGCUGGAUUGUGGAUUGGUUUCCUAGGCCAUUGUUCUUUGUACAAUACUUGAAGCGAUCUGCUCGUGUGUGUGACUUUGUCCGAUGAUUAGGCUUUAGAUUUUCUGCUGGUUUAUCUUAUGAUUCAUGGUAGCAUUUGAUUUUUUUUCAAUUACUAUGUCUCAAUUGUCGAACAGGACAGUAAGAAUCUAAUAAAACUCUUGCACAACAAAGAUUGUUGUCCUUUAGUUACCCAGACCUUUGUUUUCAUGGUAUAAAACCAACUGCUGUCAACUUUAGUACUCUGGAAAAUUAUAUAACCAUUCUGAAAUUUCCUAUGACACAGGCCGAGACAAGCAUUGUAAGGAUCCCAGUUAGAAUGAUGCUUGAUCUCCUGUUAGAGCAUCUUGGGCUUCACAAGGCCAUCUGAGACUCAGGCUCAAUGAGAACACAAUGAGUGUCAUCGUUCUCUCUGACACCGCUAUUCAAGACGACCGGACCUGUCCACCGCGCAUGCCCAUUACUGGUGUUCAGUCCUCCAACGACAAUAUCUACCGUGUAUGAACAUUGCAUCCUCUAAUUUACCCUGUAUAUGAACAUUCCAUUCUUCAAAUGUGUUGUACUAUCGUUCUGAUGGCUAUGGAGAUGUGUUGUACUGUAGUUUUGGUAUCCAUUGAUGAUGUCUUGCUCCGAUUACACUUGAAUGUUUCUUUUUUUAUCCUGAUUGAAUAUAUAUGAUAAGCCUGGCUUUCUACUAACUUCACCAUUACAUGCAUGGCCA
rnacentral:lncRNA from 1 species